AGAAGUGUAUAUCAUGAAGUUGUUACUAGUCCUUCUUUGUACGCUCCUCCUGGUCGUCUACGUGGAGAGUAAGGGAGCACGGGGAGGAGGAGCUAGGAGCAGCAGUAGGAGCAGUAGUUCCAGGUCCACGUCUAGCUCGAAGAGGGGAUCCAGAUAUUACUCUAGGUCUAGCUACAGCAGAUCUACAGUGUUGACGUAUAUGACUCUGUUUGCGUUCUCUGGCUACGGAUAUAAUAGAGCUAGUUACUAUAGAUACAGCAAAGAUACUCCAGAGUACUGUGUGUACUGUAACGCCACAAUGAGUAAUGAUACGUGUACGGAGACGUUUAAAACUGUGUGUACACAGUCUAGUGAUUGUUACUACAUGUCUUUCAAGGAUCCUGACAAUUCAACUGCUGCUCCACUUAUUCAGAAGGGUUGCCUAUACGAGAGCUAUGGCCAGGACGGCUGUGCAGCACAAGAAGCUUCUUGUACAGCUGCGGGUCACGUGAACUGCACGUGCAACUUCUGCACAGAGCCGUUCUGUAACGGCGCUAGUCACGUGACGUAUUCAGUGGUAGGACUGGUGGUUGCUGGGAUAGUUAGUGUUCUCCUCGCAAGGCUGGUGUAAGGAGUGGGACUUUAGUAGUAGUACCUUGUCUUCAGAAAAAGUGGGACUGCCGAGGAGGUGGAACUUGACAGAAUGGAGUAAGGUUUUCAUAUCCCGCUUAUAUCGACUAAGUGUAUUAAAUAUUUAAUAUACAUGUCAGAGUGGCUCUUGUAACUAAAUAUCUGAUUACUUAAUGAUUUUUAACAAAUAAUUUAAAUUAAAGAAAAGUGAUCAUAACGAUAAAAUAAACAAACUAGAAAUCUUGACAAACAGUUGAUUUACAGGUCGAACUCAACUGAUAGAGACACUAAACUAUCAUAGUUUGACCAGUACUGAAAUUAAUUUUCGACGAGUUUAAUUAAGACUUUACUUCUAAUGAACUGUGAUUAACUUUUUAAAUCAAAAGUAUAGCAUAACCAAGAAAGUGUUUAAAGAUUUAGCUGUAGCUCUUUCUAAACACAAUUUGUAAAUAUAUAUUUUGUAUUGUAAUGUUUGCACUAGUUUUGACUUUAUAUAACUUAAUACCUUGUUCAUAAUAUAUUUGUAGUAUAAUUGUAGGACAUAGAUUUGUAAACUUUCCUUAUGAUGCUGACUUAUUUUUAGUUCUGUUAACUUGGACAAUUAAACCGGUAUAGAACAAUAAAUCCGAUUACUCCGAUCCUGUAUACCCCGAUUUAUCGAACUUACUUUUCCCUAUAGUUUGAAUAAGAUGACUAAAUCUUUACAAUGUUUAAUUUAAAGUUACUUUAAGUUAAAGUAUGAUCCUUCACAGUAUUGAUUAUAAAGGGGUCCCUUGUGGUCUAUGGGAAGCUUUUCGUGAUCUUUAUUUCACGUGUCUUCUUUGAUAAUUUUAUUCUUCCUGCUUGUCGACAGUGGCAAUUGAUCGCGUGAAAAUAUAAAUUCAGAUUUAUCGUGCAUUCUGAUUUAAUCUAAAUUUCCGGUUAAAA